rnacentral:misc_RNA from 1 species
AAAUGCGAAAAGUAAUGCGAAUUGCAGAAUUCAGCGAGUCAUCGAGUUUUUGAACGCACAUUGCGCCCGCCGGUAUUCCUUGGAGCAUGCCUGUUUGAGUAUCAUGAAAUCUUCAAAGUAAAUCUUUUGUUAACUCAAUUGGUUUCUACUUUGGUAUUGGAGGUCUUUGCAGCUUCACACCUGCUCCUCUUUGUUCAUUAGCUGGAUCUCAGUGUUAUGCUUGGUUCCACUCGGCGUGAUAAGUUAUCUAUCGCUGAGGACACUGUAAAAGGUGGCCAAGGUAAAUGCAGAUGAACCGCUUCUAAUAGUCCAUUGACUUGGACAAUACUUUUAUGAUCUGAUCUCAAAUCAGGUAGGACUACCCGCUGAACUUAAGC